rnacentral:rRNA from 1 species
UACAGAGGGUGCAAGCGUUGUUCGGAAUUAUUGGGCGUAAAGGGCGCGUAGGCGGUUCGGCAAGUCUCUAGUGAAAUCUCAGGGCUCAACUCUGAGUCUGCUGGGGAAACUGCCGGGCUUGAGUGUGGGAGAGGAGAGUGGAAUUUCCGGUGUAGCGGUGAAAUGCGUAGAUAUCGGAAGGAACACCUGUGGCGAAAGCGGCUCACUGGACCACAACUGACGCUGAGGCGCGAAAGCUAGGGGAGCAAACAGG